UACGUAGGGUGCGAGCGUUAAUCGGAAUUACUGGGCGUAAAGCGUGCGCAGGCGGUUGUGCAAGACAGAUGUGAAAUCCCCGGGCUCAACCUGGGAACUGCAUUUGUGACUGCACGGCUGGAGUGCGGCAGAGGGGGAUGGAAUUCCUGGUGUAGCAGUGAAAUGCGUAGAUAUCAGGAGGAACACCGAUGGCGAAGGCAGGUCUCUGGGCUGACACUGACGCUCAUGCACGAAAGCGUGGGGAGCAAACAGG
rnacentral:rRNA from 1 species